rnacentral:lncRNA from 1 species
CUGUUGACUAUCUUCACUUUUUUCCGGAGAACUCAUUGUUGGUCCUUUAUUUAUCGCCUGAAUCAAUCCUUAGAAAGAGCAAACCACGGCGUAGAUGUUUUGUCGCUUGGCUGCAGAAAAAGUGCACUACUUGGUUACUUAGAGCAAGAACAUCAUAAAAUACUACAAAUACCCGAAGAUUAUUUGGUCUUAACCCUCCCUAGAAGACACACUGUUCUCCAUUACUUGGUUACUUAGACGCUUUCACAUUUGCAAUUUGUUACGAGUUAUUACAUAGUAGUAAUACUUAGUACAUGUUAUGAUGCAAACAAUUUUUGGCCAACAUCGAUCUAAAUCCGAAGAUACAUCUUAACCCCAUAUCCAAGAUAUGCUUCAUCAUAUCUAGAAGGUUUCACCAGUAUAAUGCUAAUCUCAUGCUUUUUCUGUUUCACAAUAUCUAUCAUAUUGUAUACUAUUAAAAAAUUCUACAUAAUUUCAGAGAAAAACAAAUAAAGAGACCAUGCCUCUGAGCACACUAGACUCUGACGUCAAAACCCCAAAUCAUGAAAAAAUGUCAAUAUCUUGCUUUUUCAAAAAAGGUGCUUGGAAAGGCAACGAUAGAACUUCAUAGUCCAAAGUAACAACUGGUUUGGUCACUAAUUGAGUAAUGGAAAGUUGAAUAUAGGGCUUGAGUUUGUUAGUUUUUUGGAUUGGGCGUUGUUCCAAUCAAUUGGAAACAUCAAGAAGAGUACAAAACUUAAAUUUGAAGUGAUUUGGAGUAGAUUUGAACUAAGUUUGAGUUAAAUUUCAGAAUAGAAUCAAAGAUGAAAACAAAGUCAGUUUUAGUAUAAUAGUGUAUAUGGGUGUAUAAACACCUCUUAUACACUUUCAUACACCUUUAUACAAGCCCAUAUAGACGAAUUUCUUCCACGAUUUUUAGUUGCAAUUCUCGUUCAAAACUCAUCUAAAUAUCCAUUAAAUGGCUUCAAAUUUUGUAUAUAACCUCCCUAUACUAUUUCUAACAAGUCUAAAUAACACCCACUCCAAAAUUUUCACAAAAAUGAUAUUUGAAAUUUAAAAUAUCACUUUCAUACACUUUCAUACACCUUUAUACAAGCCCAUAUAGACGAAUUUCUUCCACGAUUUUUAGUUGCAAUUCUCGUUCAAAACUCAUCCAAAUCUCCAUUAAAUGGCUUCAAAUUUUGUAUAUAACCUCCAUAUACUAUUUCUAACAAGUCUAAAUAACACCCACUCCAAAAUUUUCACAAAAAUGAUAUUUGAAAUUUAAACCUGCUUAUUUAAGCUUGUUCAACAAUGGUGGAUUACCUUAAAAAUCUAAUUUUCACUGCCCAAAUAGAUUUUGUUUGUUGAACUAAUCUUUGAGUCACAAUUACUGAUUCUAAGAUUGCAUUAGAAGCUUAGCAUUUUUAAAAAAAUUGAAUAGCAAUUUCGAGAACCUAUUUGGAGUCGGUUAUUGAAUCUUAGCCUAUUAUUUUUGGGCUACAACUUUGCAAAGUUAACUAUAGGCCACCUAGUUGCAAUGCAUGUGUGAGUUGUAUUUAUGUGUAAUUCCCUCACUUUUUUUUUGAUAAUCGACAAAUCCCUCGGGCCAGUGGCACAAGGCGCAAGGUCUAAUAAUAGAAUUAGUUGUAUGCAUUCUCUACAUUCAUUUUCCUCAUUCAAGACUUGGAGAAUUUAUCACGAUUUCGUUUCACCCACAUAAAUCAACAAUCCUUCUUUUUCAUAUAAUAUCAUAUAUACUAAUCUAAAUCAAUAACAACAACCCAACGUAGUUUCAUAAGUGGGGUCUGGAGAGGGUAGAAUAUACGCAGCCAAAAAAUUAAACAAAAAUGUCCAUUUAAGAAUUUUUUUCCUAAACUAGAAAUCCAUUUAGAUUAGAAAAAAUAGCUUGAUUCGAAAAAAUAAAGUCAAAACAUUAUUCUUGAAAUAAUUAACCAAAGGGAGUUUUCUCAAAUUUAAUCUAAACAAAUAAUCUUUCUCCAAAUUAUUUUAUAAAAAAGCAAUUUUCCCAAGAAAAAAAAAAGACAAAACUAAUCGCACCAGAGUUUACUCAUCCAAUACUUUAGAGGGCGAAACGCAAAGAAGGCAAAAUAGGCUCUCAUUCGUUGCGCUAGUAUCGCAGCUCUAAUUCUUCCUUCCUUAAACCAUACUAUCACUCCCCUUUCCUCCCAACCUUACGCCAUUUAAGAUCAAGGUUUGUUUGCAGAGAAAUAACUCAAGCUAAAAGUACGCAUUUUUAACAGUUUCACAUCAUAUUGGCUUUAUCGUUUAGUAGUUAGAAAGCACGGAGUUUUAGAGUUUAUUUGGGUAUUUUACAAAUUAAAGCUCCAAUUUGAUGAAGAUAACUCCCUCUAUCCCGAUCUGUUUGGUGUUUUUUCUCCUACCUAUAGACAAUUUGACCAACAUUUGGAGCUAUAUAUAUACUAGAGUAGUCUUACAAGUUAAUUUUAGAUUAUUUGAAAUGUGAUUUAGGCAUGGCAUCAAAAGAGUGACCGGAACAUGUCUUGACCAGCUUGUAAGUAGCAUCCCGCCGAUGGUCGACACAGCGUGGCAUCAAAAGCAAAUCUUUUUUGCUUGCUCUGCAAAUCUCUUAAGUCACAAUUUUUCUAGUAUAUAAAAUGGAAAAAGAAUUACAUUUCAAAAUAUUAGUCAAACUGUCGAUCAUUGCCCCAGGGGGUUGUUCUAGUAGUAAGAGCGUAGCGCAUGAUGUGCGGAUUAGGUACACAACCCUAACGCAGAAAAAGUUUGAUAGUUAAGUGGAGAAGGGUAGAGGGGUGUGCCAGUUGUAACACCUCCUCUUUCCCAAGGAAUAUGGAGUUUUUCCAAUUAAAGUGUCAUUGUUCGAAAUGAGAUUAUUUAUUUAAUUUAGAGUCGCCACUUGGAAUAAUUAUUAUGGUGUCCCAAGUCAUCGAUUUAUUUUAAAAUCUCAAAUCGAGGAAAUUGACUCUAUUUAGGGUCUGCGAACACAGAAGACCGGUUAAGGAGUUCUGUUAACCCGAGAGAAGGUAUACGACACUCCCGAGUUCCGUGAUUUUAGCACAGUCGCUUAACAAUUAAUAAUUGGCCUAAUUAUCUGACUUAAUACAUAUUUAAAACCUAUUGUGCAUUUUUACUUUUUAAUCGCUUUUAAUUAAAUAAUUAACCGCUUUCAAUUUUCAUGGAAUUUAUUUGAACAAGUCGCGAUGCUGCACACUUGUUUGUUUUUGUACAUAUUGCAAAUCGCGUCACAUGAAACGCAUCCACGUUCUACAACAUGUUGAUUUUAUUAUUAUUUUGAAGUUGUGGUCAAGUCGCGUGAAACCCGCACUUGAGUUGGGAUUUCGGUAUAGCGACCAUGCCACGGGAACCGUACCCAUGAUCACGAUGAUUUAUUAAUCGCUCCUAAAGCAAACUAUGAGGUUCAUGAAUUAUUUAUUUUUUCCUAAAUUUAAGAUUGAUUGCAAGGUCAUGGAUUAUGGAUUAAUUUGAAGAGGCAGGUACAUUGAUGAGUUACUAACUAUUCUGUGAAGCAUUGUAGUACCUUGAAUUGCAGCUAACAAGUCUUAAACAAAUGAUUCAUAUCAGUUUAUGCUUGAUCUCAACAUUCAUACUUUUAUCUUCAAUGCGUGAACAUUCCAGAAGCAAAUAACCCGAGUCAGAACUCUUGUGAGUUCACUAAGUGCUCGCUUAACAGUAUAGAUGCCAAACAUGAUGAUAUGUAGUCAUUAACAUGAUGAACUAGCGCAGAAAAAGCAAUAGCAGCGAAGCCACACUAAUUAACGACUGAUUCCAGUUUUUUUUUUUUUAAAAAAACUCAACUCAAAUCAUCAGCCUUGAUCAAUGAUUAACAGAUAAACACAAGCAAAACAGAUUUGAUAGUCAACAAUUGGAUUCUAGGAAUGCAACUCAACUUCAGCACAAAAAAAAUAUAUAAACAUACAACUCAGUACAUUCAGAGAUCUAUAAGAACAUUAGGUAAAUUACCUUGAAAUUCGAACAAGGAGAAGGAAAUGAAACCAAAUAAAGGUCAGGAAAAACAGAGAGAGAAUUGAGCUACACAGAUAUAACAGCUUCAACAAUGAACAACAGUGAUCUCGCCUUGACAAACCCUUAGAAGCCCAGAUUUUCGGAAAUCAAACUUGAACACCCAGAAGUUGUGGAGAUAAGCAGCAAAAAUUAGCAGAGCCUUUGAAAUUCUCUGUUCCCCCAAUUUUCUUCUAAUUUUCUUUUGAAUUUCAAACCGUUUCUCUUAGCAUUUUUAGAUGUGUGUGAUUGAGUGUGUAGAAAAGUGAGUAGAUCAAGGAACCAGUGAGAAUGAGAGAGCGAGAGUCGUGUGUCUCUCCGUUAGAACACAGGGUGGGUGUGAAUCUGCGGGAUCCGUUCUUCAAAGAAUGGGGCAUGGGUCGUUUUAAUGAGUGAGUGGAACGGAACCACAUAGUUUUGCUAUUAAACCACGUCGUUUGAUGGCCGGGAGGAAGGGUUAUUGGACCGGGUCAAGGGAUUUGGCUGAGGCUGAGAUCGG